GAACCGUCCAAACGUUAUUCGGGAAUCACUGGGGCUUAAAGGGUGCGUAGGCGGUGCGGUAAGUGGGGGGAUGUGAAAUCCCUCGGGCUCAACCGAGGGAAUUGCGUCCCAUACUGCCGUGCUGGAGGGAGGCAGAGGUGAGCGGAACUGAUGGUGGAGCGGUGAAAUGCGUUGAUAUCAUCAGGAACACCAGUGGCGAAAGCGGCUCACUGGGCCUCUUCUGACGCUGAGGCACGAAAGCCAGGGGAACGAACGGGAUUAGAUACCCCGGUAGUCCUGGCUGUAAACGAUGAGCACUUGGUUGAAGGCCUUCCACGGGCUUUCGGCCGUAGCGAAAGUGUUAAGUGCUCCGCCUGGGGAGUAUGGUCGCAAAGGCUG
rnacentral:rRNA from 1 species